rnacentral:rRNA from 1 species
UCAAUUAAAAUAUAUAAAAUUAAUUACUAUUUAAAUCUUUAAUUUAAAAUUAUAUUUAUAUUAAUUAAUAAAGAAAUUAUGUUAAAAUUAGUAUAAUGUUAUUAUUUAUAAAAGGAAUUCGGCUUUCAUCUGUUUAUCAAAAACAUAGUCUUAUGAAAAUAUAAGGUAAAACCUGCCCACUGAUUUUAAAUGGCCGCAGUACUUUGACUGUGCUAAGGUAGCAUAAUAAAUUGACUUUUAAUUGGGGCCUUGAAUGAAAGGAUUAAUGGGUAAUUUCUGUCUUUAAUGAAUAAAUUAAAAAUUACUUAAAAGGUGAAAAUUCCUUUAUUUAAUAAAAUAGACGAGAAGACCCUAGGAGUUUUUUUGUUGGGGCGACAAUAUAGCAUAACCUAUAUAUUUAUAAUAACGAAAUAUUUUAAUAAUAAUUUAACUACCCUAGGGAUAACAGCAUAAUUUAAUUUAAGUUUAUGACCUCGAUGUUGGACUAGGAACUUUUAAAGCUAACAGCGUUAA